rnacentral:rRNA from 1 species
GAUGAGCGCUGGCGGCGUGCCUAAUACAUGCAAGUCGAGCGAACAGACGAGGAGCUUGCUCCUUUGACGUUAGCGGCGGACGGGUGAGUAACACGUGGGUAACCUACCUAUAAGACUGGGAUAACUUCGGGAAACCGGAGCUAAUACCGGAUAAUAUUUCGAACCGCAUGGUUCGAUAGUGAAAGAUGGCUCUGCUAUCACUUAUAGAUGGACCUGCGCCGUAUUAGCUAGUUGGUAAGGUAACGGCUUACCAAGGCAACGAUACGUAGCCGACCUGAGAGGGUGAUCGGCCACACUGGAACUGAGACACGGUCCAGACUCCUACGGGAGGCAGCAGUAGGGAAUCUUCCGCAAUGGGCGAAAGCCUGACGGAGCAACGCCGCGUGAGUGAUGAAGGUCUUCGGAUCGUAAAACUCUGUUAUUAGGGAAGAACAAACGUGUAAGUAACUGUGCACGUCUUGACGGUACCUAAUCAGAAAGCCACGGCUAACUACGUG